ACACUCGCUGGGGCCUGGUCCUCUCCAUGUGGUCCUGACCUACCCCCCCGCGAGGGAGAGAAACAGGGCUGGUUUGGGGGUCUCCCACCCUAGUGGACAUGGGAGACCACGGUUUCCAGCACAACA
rnacentral:snoRNA from 1 species